rnacentral:rRNA from 1 species
AGAUUGAACGCUGGCGGCAGGCCUAACACAUGCAAGUCGAGCGGCAGCACGGGUACUUGUACCUGGUGGCGAGCGGCGGACGGGUGAGUAAUGCCUAGGAAUCUGCCUGGUAGUGGGGGAUAACGCUCGGAAACGGACGCUAAUACCGCAUACGUCCUACGGGAGAAAGCAGGGGACCUUCGGGCCUUGCGCUAUCAGAUGAGCCUAGGUCGGAUUAGCUAGUUGGUGAGGUAAUGGCUCACCAAGGCGACGAUCCGUAACUGGUCUGAGAGGAUGAUCAGUCACACUGGAACUGAGACACGGUCCAGACUCCUACGGGAGGCAGCAGUGGGAAUAUGGACAAGUGGGCGAAAGCCUGAUCCAGCCAUGCCGCGUGUGUGAAGAAGGUCUUCGGAUUGUAAAGCACUUUAAGUGGAGAAGGCAGUUACCUAAUACGUAUCUGUUUGACGUUACCGACAGAAUUAAGCAACCGGCUAACGUCUGUGA